rnacentral:rRNA from 1 species
GACGUAGGAGGCGAGCGUUGUCCGGAUUCAUUGGGCGUAAAGAGCACGCAGGCGGUUUGGCAAGUCGGAUGUGAAAACCCGGAGCUCAACUCCGGGCGUGCAUCCGAUACUGCCCGACUAGAGGUAGGUAGGGGAGAUCGGAAUUCCUGGUGUAGCGGUGAAAUGCGCAGAUAUCAGGAGGAACACCGGUGGCGAAGGCGGAUCUCUGGGCCGACACUGACGCUGAUGCGCGAAAGCCAGGGGAGCGAACGGG